GCCUGGAGUUCUGUAAGGAUCCUGGUUGGGAAACACUGGGAGAGCUUCCCCACCUCUGGACCGUUUCGUCUUUCUUCCUCUCUCUAUGCACACACUGAAAUUGCGGACUUGAGCCUGGUAAGGAGAAGGGGGCCUGGUGGGGAGGAGGGGGCUCGGUGGACAUGCGGGUUCCGAUCUAGUCUGUUGUUUUCUAGCUCUGUGACCCUGAGUGAGUUCUUGAACGGCUUCAGGUUUUGUUUUUCUAUCUCUAAAAUGGGAACCAGAACUGCUGCAGGAGAAGCCCCUUUCCCCUCCACACAGCACUUAAUAAAGUGCUCGGCAUGUGACAACUUCUUAUCUGAAUCCUGCUGAUGCCCAGUUCCUCCAUGAAGUCUUCCUAGAUUAUCCCAACUGUGGCAGAGACAGCUGCCCACCCAUAUCUACUCCCCCAUUUUUCUUUCCGAAUAGAGUCCCAGUUUUGUUUUGGGUAACAUGGUGCCCAGCUAAGACACUCUUUCUCAGACUCCCUUGCAGUUAGUACAGCCAUGGAUUGCAGGUACAGCCAAGGAGAUGUAAAUCGAAGUCAUUGGGUGGGGCUCCUGAGAACCUCUUUAAAGGAGGCUGAUUCAAUGGACAUGUGCCCUCUUGCCCCUUAUCCUUGUCCUCCUUUUCCUUGUCAGGAAUGAGGAUGUGAUGGCUGGAGCCACAGUGGCUAUAUUACAACAUACUGCAAACUUGAAGAUGGAGGUCACAUCCUAGUAUGGCAGAGCAGAAGGGUAGAAGGAGCCGGGGACACUGACGGCCUGAUGGGAACCCUCGGUGCAAAUGUGGUCCACCAGACUUCAGGGUUUGUCUUAUGUGAGGGAAGGAGAAGCCAUUAUUUGGGAUUUCUACUACAGGCAGCUCAGCGCAGUCCCUGCGGACACCCUCUUCUCCGAGCUCUCAGUUAUGUUCCCUGUUCUAAAUUUAUAGGUCAGGGGAUUGGAUGGAAAGCGCUGCCCGAUGGGGUGACCCCUGGCAGUGGGCAGCGGCCGAAGAGCAGAGGACGGGCCCUGGCUGGGGGCCGGGGGUGAGGGCCCAGCCCAGCUCUCUGAGGCCGGUGGGCUCUGAUGUCGUAGGAUGCCUCCCUCUCCUCCUUCCUGGGCCUCAGUGGCCCUCGGCAGAAGGAGGAAUUGAACCUGAUGAUCUAAGGUGUUUUCCCGCUGUCCCAGGGCCCGACUUGAAGAACUAAGUGCCAUUGUGCCCGUGAGAAAGGUGGACACAGACUCACAAGAACCAGUGCUUUCUGUUCAUUCAUUCAUUUAACAAAUAUCUAUUGAGCAUUUACUGUGUGUCAUAAAAAUCUCUAC
rnacentral:lncRNA from 1 species